rnacentral:rRNA from 1 species
CUACGGAGGAUGCAAGCGUUAUCCGGAUUUAUUGGGUUUAAAGGGUGCGUAGGCGGUUUGCUAAGCGGGAGGUGAAAUGCCGGCGCUCAACGUCGGAAGUGCCUCCCGAACUGGUGGACUUGAAUGACUCUGCCGUGGGAGGAAUGUGUAGUGUAGCGGUGAAAUGCUUAGAGAUUACACAGAACACCGAUUGCGAAGGCAUCUCACGAAGGGUUGAUUGACGCUGAGGCACGAAAGCGUGGGGAUCAUACAGGAUUAGAUACCCUGGUAGUCCACGCAGUAAACGAUGAUGGCUAACCGCUGGGCUUAUCAGUUCAGUGGCCAAGCGAAAGCGAUAAGCCAUCCACCUGGGGAGUACGACCGCAAGGUUGAAACUCAAAGGAAUUGGCGGGG